rnacentral:rRNA from 1 species
UACGUAGGGUGCGAGCGUUGUCCGGAAUUAUUGGGCGUAAAGCGUGCGCAGGCGGUUUUGUAAGCCAGAUGUGAAAUCCCCGGGCUUAACCUGGGAAUGGCAUUUGGGACUGCAAGGCUCGAGUGCGGCAGAGGAGACUGGAAUUCCUGGUGUAGCAGUGAAAUGCGUAGAUAUCAGGAGGAACACCGAUGGCGAAGGCAGGUCUCUGGGCUGACACUGACGCUCAUGCACGAAAGCGUGGGGAGCAAACAGG